UCUGCAUCGGUAGAGAUCCNUCUUCCCUUCGGGGACAGAGUGACAGGUGUCGCAUGGUUGUCGUCAGCUCGUGUCGUGAGAUGUUGGGUUAAGUCCCGCAACGAGCGCAACCCUUGAUCUUAGUUGCCAGCAUUUAGUUGGGCACUCUAAGGUGACUGCCGGUGACAAACCGGAGGAAGGUGGGGAUGACGUCAAAUCAUCAUGCCCCUUAUGACCUGGGCUACACACGUGCUACAAUGGAUGGAACAAAGGGAAGCAAAACCGCGAGGUCAAGCAAAUCCCAUAAAACCAUUCUCAGUUCGGAUUGCAGGCUGCAACUCGCCUGCAUGAAGCCGGAAUCGCUAGUAAUCGCGGAUCAGCAUGCCGCGGUGAAUACGUUCCCGGGCCUUGUACACACCGCCCGUCACACCACGAGAGUUGGUAACACCCGAAGUCGGUGAGGUAACCUUUUGGAGCCAGCCGCCGAAGGUGGGACCAAUGAUUGGGGUGAAGU
rnacentral:rRNA from 1 species